rnacentral:rRNA from 1 species
AUUGAACGCUGGCGGCAGGCCUAACACAUGCAAGUCGAACGAGUGGCGGACGGGUGAGUAAUGUCUGGGAAACUGCCUGAUGGAGGGGGAUAACUACUGGAAACGGUAGCUAAUACCGCAUACCAUCAGAUGUGCCCAGAUGGGAUUAGCUUGUGGGUGUGGUAACGGCGCACCACGGCGACGAUCCCUAGCUGGUCUGAGAGGAUGACCAGCCACACUGGAACUGAGACACGGUCCAGACUCCUACGGGAGGCAGCAGUGGGGAAUAGUGCACAAUGGGCGAAAGCCUGAUGCAGCCAUGCCGCGUGUAUGAAGAAGGCCUGCGGGUUGUAAAGUACUUUCAGCGGGGAGGCGUUACCCGCAGAAGAAGCACCGGCUAACUCCGUGCCAGCAGCCGCGGUAAUUC